GUCUCUGGUUUUUUAGACUCCUUUUCCUCCAGCAAUGGUAGUCAGCAUGAAGCAGUUCGACUUGCUGGUUCAGUAGGUCAGGGGCCUCACCGAAGUAGUGUAGGCCAUGCAGUAGCAGCCAUAGGCAUCAGUGCGGCUGGAAAGAGCAUCAUUGGAGUUUCAGAAUCUGGCGACCGGGUGGGCCACUUGGGCCAGUCACCCUAUCUUCCCCGAAAAGGGGAAGCAGAAGGCGGAGAUCCCUCCGUCCGAUCACGAUUCUACCCCCGGAGGGUCCCUACCUUUGUUUCACCAGAAGACCCUUGAGACUCGCAGUCGAGAGGACCUCCUAGAUCAAAGAUUUCAGGAGAUGAACCAAUGGAUCGAAGAGCUCCGCCAUGC
rnacentral:lncRNA from 1 species